UACGAAGGGGGCUAGCGUUGUUCGGAUUUACUGGGCGUAAAGCGCACGUAGGCGGAUUGUUAAGUCAGGGGUGAAAUCCUGGAGCUCAACUCCAGAACUGCCUUUGAUACUGGCAAUCUCGAGUCCGGAAGAGGUAAGUGGAACUCCUAGUGUAGAGGUGGAAUUCGUAGAUAUUAGGAAGAACACCAGUGGCGAAGGCGGCUUACUGGUCCGGAACUGACGCUGAGGUGCGAAAGCGUGGGGAGCAAACAGG
rnacentral:rRNA from 2 species